GACGAACGCUGGCGGCGUGCUUAACACAUGCAAGUCGAACGGAAAGGCCCUGCUUUUGUGGGGUGCUCGAGUGGCGAACGGGUGAGUAACACGUGAGUAACCUGCCCUUGACUUUGGGAUAACUUCAGGAAACUGGGGCUAAUACCGGAUAGGAGCUCCUGCUGCAUGGUGGGGGUUGGAAAGUUUCGGCGGUUGGGGAUGGACUCGCGGCUCAUCAGCUUGUUGGUGGGGUAGUGGCUUACCAAGGCUUUGACGGGUAGCCGGCCUGAGAGGGUGACCGGCCACAUUGGGACUGGGAUACGGCCCAGACUCCUACGGGAGGCAGCAGUGGGGGAUAUUGCACAAUGGGCGGAAGCCUGAUGCAGCAACGCCGCGUGCGGGAUGACGGCCUUCGGGUUGUAAACCGCUUUCGCCUGUGACGAAGCGUGAGUGACGGUAAUGGGUAAAGAAGCACCGGCUAACUACGUG
rnacentral:rRNA from 1 species